AAAUAUAUACAAUGUAAGGGUUUUUUUUGGUACUGGGAAUUGAACCUGGGGGGAGUUAACCACUGAGCCACAUACUUCGUCCUUUUAAUUUUUAUUUUGAGAGAGGGUCUGGCUAAGUGUCCCAUGUUUCCAUCUUCCUGGCCCAAGCUAAGUAGGUGGGAUUGCCACUGUGCCUGGCUUAAAUGCAGUAUCAAAUUUCCCUUUUUCAUUUCUCUUUUCUGUCAGUAGCACAUUGCCCAGUUGAUGACUCCCUCUUCUCUUUUCUCUUCUUAGUUGUUAGGACAUCUACCUAUCUUAAAACUCUCCUUGCAUUCAUUAUGAUUCCUCCCUGAUCACUUUGGCCAUUCCUCUGCUGCGAGGCUCCACCGCCUGUUCUCUGAUGGCAGUGCUCCCCCACAGUUGAGGCUUGUACCUCUGCUCAGCCUGUCCGUGCCCACUGUCUCUCCUCAUCUUUUUGAUCACAGCUUUGAUACCAUUCUCCUCUACAGUACUCCUGGAGACUUCUCCUAUGAACAUUAGAGUUCUGUGGCCAGUUGUGUCCUCAAGUCCAUGCUGGGAUGUUAGUGGGCCUUUCUACCUUCAUGGUCCAUCCUGUGACUUCUUUAGCUCCCCAGGUGUCUCUCCCCUGUAGUCCUCAGCAUUUCAGGUAGGGUGAUCCUGUACUUGGAGGUGUUGGCUAGAUACUUUGACAUAUAUCGAAAUAGCACAAUGUAUUAUCAUAUUGGUAAGUUUUAUAUCUUAAGAGGAGAAAGACAAAGAUCACAUGUAUUUUUUCAGACAGGCAAGGAAACUAGGGUGUACACUGUUCUUGAGGCUUGGGAAAGAUGUGGGAAGACCUGGGUCCUGGUUGUUCUGCUGCCUCAGGGCCUCUGCUGCUCAGCCACCCAGGCCUCUUUCCUUUUCCUGGUAGCAGGUUGCUUAAGCCUCAGGGUCUUCACUGGGUCCUGUCUCCUUGUCUAGGCCUCCUUGACACUGGGCUGCAGGUGGUCAACACCUCAGGUCUUUGUUCUGAUGUUACCUACUGCAUGGAGACUACUGUGACCGCCCCCCCCCCAGCUCCUGUAACACUCCAGCCACACCCUGCCCCACCUCUGGUCCAUGCAGCCUACUUUGCAUAUUUCUUUCUGUUCCUUCACCAUCUGCUGUCUGGAUCCUGGUAAGAACAAGGUUCCAAGAGAGGCGCAGAGCUAGAAGGUGGGUAGUGGGCUGGGCUUGCCCCUAAUGGGGGUACUUAAUCUUGGGUUCCAUGAGAGUCCCGAGUCAUUUUGCAAUAAUUCUACUAACUGGAUGUGCCAUUCGGGGGUGAGGAUGUUACCAGUUUUAAUAAUACUGAAAAAGAGUUGAUUCUCUUAUCUGUGCAGCAUUGAGUAACAGGCUCUGUGUCCUCCAUCCUGGGGACUGAGAUCAGCCUGAGAUCCCAGGAGAGGUGAGUGGGCACUGUGCUGUCGUUCAGUGUGGUCAGGGCCAGGCUAUGCCCUGAAGGGAGCCCAGUGCUUCCCAGCUCCCCACUGCUGCAGCCUGUGUGUGCUUCACCAGCAGGGAAACCAGGCCCAAAGAGAGGAGUCACAGAAGUCUCCUGUGCGCCUUCCUGCAGGAGUUUACUAAUGUGCCUGGGUCACUCUAAAGGGGUGGGCAGAAGGGGACCAUCUUGUCACAUGGUGAGGUCCUCCCUGUGUGUGUGGCUGUGGCAUAGGAAGGAUGUGAUGAUUCUGAGCCUUAAAGAGUAUGUUUCCUCCUUCCAGGAUUGACUUGUAGACUCGUGUUACCUGAG
rnacentral:lncRNA from 1 species